rnacentral:rRNA from 1 species
AGGGAAACCGAGUCUUAAUUGGGCGUUAAGUUGCAGGGUAUAGACCCGAAACCCGGUGAUCUAGCCAUGGGCAGGUUGAAGGUUGGGUAACACUAACUGGAGGACCGAACCGACUAAUGUUGAAAAAUUAGCGGAUGACCUGUGGCUGGGGGUGAAAGGCCAAUCAAACCGGGAGAUAGCUGGUUCUCCCCGAAAGCUAUUUAGGUAGCGCCUCGUGAAUUCAUCUCCGGGGGUAGAGCACUGUUUCGGCUAGGGGGCCAUCCCGGCUUACCAACCCGAUGCAAACUGCGAAUACCGGAGAAUGUUAUCACGGGAGACACACGGCGGGUGCUAACGUCCGUCGUGAAGAGGGAAACAACCCAGACCGCCAGCUAAGGUCCCAAAGUCAUGGUUAAGUGGGAAACGAUGUGGGAAGGCCCAGACAGCCAGGAUGUUGGCUUAGAAGCAGCCAUCAUUUAAAGAAAGCGUAAUAGCUCACUGGUCGAGUCGGCCUGCGCGGAAGAUGUAACGGGGCUAAACCAUGCACCGAAGCUGCGGCAGCGACGCUUAUGCGUUGUUGGGUAGGGGAGCGUUCUGUAAGCCUGUGAAGGUGUGUCGUGAGGCAUGCUGGAGGUAUCAGAAGUGCGAAUGCUGACAUAAGUAACGAUAAAGCGGGUGAAAAGCCCGCUCGCCGGAAGACCAAGGGUUCCUGUCCAACGUUAAUCGGGGCAGGGUGAGUCGACCCCUAAGGCGAGGCCGAAAGGCGUAGUCGAUGGGAAACAGGUUAAUAUUCCUGUACUUGGUGUUACUGCGAAGGGGGGACGGAGAAGGCUAUGUUGGCCGGGCGACGGUUGUCCCGGUUUAAGCGUGUAGGUGUGUGUUCCAGGUAAAUCCGGUU